rnacentral:rRNA from 1 species
CCUACGGUGGGCAGCAGUGGGGAAUAUUGCACAAUGGGGGAAACCCUGAUGCAGCGACGCCGCGUGAGUGAAGAAGGAAUUCGUUAUGUAAAGCUCUAUCAGCCAGGAAGAAAAUGACGGUACGUGAGUAAGGAGCACCGGCUAACUACGUGACAGCAGCCGCGGUCAUACGUAGGGGGCAAGCGUUAUCCGGAUUUACGGGGUGUAAAGGGAGCGUAGACGGCAGUGCAGGUCUGGAGUGAAAGGCGGGGGCUCAACCCCCGGACUGCUCUUGAAACUGUCCGGCUGGAGUGCAGGAGAGGUAAGCGGAAUUCCUAGUGUAGCGGUGAAAUGCGUAGAUAUUAGGAGGAACACCAGUGGCGAAGGCAGCUUACUGGACUGUAACUGACGUUGAGGCACGAAAGCGUGGGUAGCGAACAGGAUUAGAUACCCUGGUAGUC